rnacentral:tRNA from 1 species
GGGCCCGUAGCUCAGUGGGAGAGCAGCCGCCUUGCACGCGACGUGUCGCCGGUUCGAGUCCGGCCGGGUCCA